GGAAAGCAGCAGGUCACCUUGAAACACAAGCCUAUUUCAAUUCCAUCCUGCAUAUAACCUUCGACCAGUUGGUGGGUACCCUAUUGAGAUAGGAUGUCUCAUCCAAGAGAUAGAGCUGACCAGUCUGAAAAUCUGACAUCUGCAUUCUGAAAGACCAAUUGCAUUUCUUAGUUACGCCUGUCAAAGGUUGAAAGGGCAGAUCGGUUACACAAAAGGGCAAUAUUAAAGUGGAGAGGAUAGAAAACAAGGAGCCAAUGCAUAGGACGAAUGCUGAAUGACCCUGAUUCAACUACUUCCCU